rnacentral:lncRNA from 1 species
AUCUAUACCGUGACUCGAACUCUGUGCUGCCCUGACUGGCGCUCAGCUGGCUGCCACUCUGAGAAAAGAACUGACCAUCAAAAUUGAUCGAGAAUUAUACUGGACUGACUCCACAACUGUAUUGACUUGGCUUCAGUCGGACUCAUGUAACUACAAGGUGUUUGUCGGAACGCGGGUGGCUGAGAUACAGGAUCUUACAUACCCAAAAGCCUGGUGCUAUAUCAAUUCAGAGCUGAACCCAGCUGACGACAUUACCAGCAGCCUCACUCUCUCUAAACUUACAACACAAAGCCGCUGGAAUCAAGGUCCACAGUUCUUAACUCAGCCAGUUAGUAUUUGGGCCAAACAGCCACUUGAGGCUGUAGGUGAUGAUUUUCAAGAACACCGCAGUUCUACUUUUUGUGGAGCGCUAUCCUCCAGCCAAACUGAUAUUCCAGAUAUCUCUCAAUACAAUUCACUUCAAGAUCUGAUUAAGGCUACUGCUAUUUACCUUCAUGGGGCGGCAGACGAAAGUGAACUCUCUGCUGAUGACUACACACAAGCUGAACAGGAACUUCUGAGACGUGCUCAAGUUGAAAGCUUCCCAGAAGAAACAUCCCAACUUCAGUUAGGUAAACCUAUAUCUCACUCUAGUCGUCUUCUUACUCUAGCCCCAGAAUAUGAUCACAAGGCCAGAUUAGUCAGAGUAGGUGGACGCCUCCGCAGAUGUAAGCACUUGGAUGCAAACACUCUCCACCCCAUUGUCUUAGAUCCUGCUCACCCUCUUGUAAAGCUUCUGAUACAACAUUACGACAACCUCCUGUCUCAUUCAGGACCCGAGCGUGUGUUCGCAGAACUGAGACGGAAAUAUUGGAGCAUAAGAGGCAGAGAGGCAGUCAAAAAACACCAACGCAGCUGCUUUGAAUGUAAGAAAUGGCGAGGGAAGCCAGAAAACCCCAUGAUGGCAGAUCUUCCCCAGUCUAAUCUUAGACUGUUUUGUCCAGCUUUCUAUUCGACAGGCGUUGAUUGUUUUCGUCCAUUCCAGGUUAAGUUCGGACGCAGAUGUGAAAAACGUUGGGGAAUACUGUACAAGUGCCUUACUACCAAAGCUGUUCAUAUUGAACUUCUAUCGAGCAUUGACACAGACUCCUUUCUUAUUUCGUUAAGAAGGUUCAUAGCUCGCAGAGGGAAACCAUAUGAAGUGCUUUCUGACCAUGGUACAAACUUCAGGGGAGGUAACACAGAACUCCAGAGUGCCUUUGGUAGACUUCACCCAGCCUUGAAAGAACAU